rnacentral:tRNA from 1 species
GGCCCCAUCGUCUAGCGGUUAGGACAUCGGCCUCUCACGCCGGUAACGGGAGUUCGAGUCUCCCUGGGGUCACCA